rnacentral:rRNA from 1 species
UACAGAGGUCUCAAGCGUUGUUCGGAAUCACUGGGCGUAAAGGGUGCGUAGGCCGCACGGUAAGUCAGAGGUGAAAUCCCGGAGCUCAACUUCGGAAUUGCCUCCGAUACUGCCGUGCUUGAGGACUGGAGAGGAGAUUGGAAUUCACAGUGGAGCAGUGAAAUGCGUAGAUAUUGUGAGGAACACUAGUGGCGAAGGCGAAUCUCUGGACAGUUCCUGACGCCGAGGCACGAAGGCCAGGGGAGCAAACGGG